rnacentral:ncRNA from 1 species
UCUUUUUCUCCAAGGGUUAAAAGGGAAGCGGGUGUGAUUCCCGCACGAUCUCGUCACUGUGAUAAGGGAGUGGGAGCGUCAGGACUUUGCUUAUGGCAAAGUCAGUCACUGAUCCGAUGGAUUGGGAAGGCGAUGACUUCCGCGAUGAUCUUUCAGCCAGGAAACCUGCCAGUUAUAAU